rnacentral:lncRNA from 1 species
UUUUUUUUUUUUUUUUUUUUGUACCAAAAAUUGUCUUGCAAUAGACAUAUUCCAUGGGGAAGAAAACCCAAGCUGCACAUUACUAGAGUUACUUGGGUAUAACACAGUGCAAGAAUUAACUUAUGUGCUAGUUAGUGCCAGAAUCGGACUAGUUAGUUUCCAAUCACCGCUUUCUCUUUCUUUUGGAAUUCUUGUCUAAGUCAACCUCAGCAGGCUUUGAUGAUAAAGCUUUUGACUUGGCAGCUACAGAAGCACUCCACAAAGCCCUCUCAACAUCUGAUGGUGUGAAUAGGUCCUCCUCGCUCGAAAGUUCCAUUGCCUUGGCUUGUAACUUCUCCACAAAAACUAGAUAACUCUUCAAUGUAUAGUCCUUCGUGUUACCAAUUGCUGCUUCCAUCGCCUCGUCGGACAUGAAUGGAGUAAUAUGAGGAGCAUAGGCAGCGAGAAUAGCGGAGGCAGUGGCGGGGCCCACGCCUUUCAAGACGGUGAGCUCCUUAACAGCUUUAGAAACGUCCGGCAACGACUCGAACGCUUUUCGCGAGGCUGAUUUGACAACGUCGUCGUUCAGCGAAGAAACGAAGUCCAGCAGCCUGGGCCUCCAUUUGCCCCUGCUCAGCUUCCACUGCAUUAAUUUUGAGAGUUCAUCAGUCGUUAUAUAUGGAGUAGGGUUCCUCUGCUUUACCAGUACCGGAAGCUCGUUCCUGUAGAAAUCGUCGAGGGAAAUAAGGUUUGGUUUGUUUAAGGAUUCGAUGCUGGACUUGUAGGACGACAGAGCCGCCUUCCAUGAGCUUAUGUCCGAGCAUUUCAACUCCAUGGCUGCCAUCACUCUGCAACCUUUUUUCUUUUUUUUUUUUACGCCAUUUCAAUUCACAGUUUUUGACUCUAACAAUACAUUACUCUGUCAUAUUCCCUAAACUUGUAUACAAUUGGUAAUAAUUUUUGCACCUUCCAUUAUGUGAAGGACAUAGAAACCGGCAAUUGUGGUUUAUAUACAGUAAAAUUUAAGCAAAACAAGUUUUGGCAUAAGGAUUUUGAUACAAAAACAAGCACAUGACAUUUUCACCAUGUAUAAACUCUAAUAUUUUUUUACACCAUACACCAAAAACUACUUCACAGAAAAUGGAGUUUACUCAGGGAGAACAAUCUUGUAGGUCUUUGAGCAUCUUGGAAGCAUUAACAAUUUCCUCCAUUUAGAAUAUAACCAAUGUUCAGUGGAUGCGUUAUCCUCUCAAAACCUAAAACUUAUUUCUUUGAGAACUGCUUCAUGUUGUAAAAGAUACUCGAUGAUAUAAACUGAGUUCGACAACCAGAACAAUCAACAGUUUCAACUUUAUUUAGCAUCUGAGCGAGACAUGAACGAGGUAAAGUUCGGCUCCCUGCUGAAAACUUCGUAUGCACCAAAUUUUCAAAUCAUAGGGUAUCUUCAUAGAUGAAGGUAAAAUCAUCAAUAGGGUGAAAUUCUAUAAUGUUCUCUGCUGUGACUAGAGACUCUUAAAUUUUUUAGUGCGUGUUCAUCAAGAGAUUCAAUCAUCAAGUAUCGAAGAUUUGGGUUAUCAAUCAUAAUUUUGUGAAUGUCAUUAUAGGAUAAUGUCAUUCUUCUAAGGGAAUUCAUGGAGAGAUCUAGAAUUUGACCUUCUUCUGGGUAGCACUAAGACAAAUUUAAAUCUUCAAGUGACUCACAGCCCAUAAAGAACUUUGCAACUCUUUCCCCACCUAUUGAGAAAUAUUUGGAGUUUAUAACUCGUUUUUUCUAACUUAUGUAAUCCCUUAUUUGUAACACUUUUUGGCGCAACAUGCUACUUCAUUAGAAAUCUUGUACUAACUUUUGAUUAUAUUUCUAGAGCAAGUGGGUAAAUAUAAGCAAAAGUAAUACUUGCCCUGCAGCUAUAGGUGCUUGAUUUUCGUACACCAGCUUGGAUAGUUCGUCCUCCCCCAUCAGUUGGCUUAAGUUCCAUGUUGUGUUUUUAGCUAGUAUGCACUUAACGGGAGCUGACUUGGUUCAAGACUUUGUUGACUCUAUUUCCAUGAAACUGAUAGUAACACACUUCCUCAAUAGUCAUACUUCUUCUCUUUCUAUUUUUUUGUCCCUUCUCUUCAUCCUCUUUGCCCCUUGCCCCCUUCCCCACUUUCCCCCUUGCCCCCUUGCCCCCUUCCCCACUUUCCCACGCCCCUCCCCAAAAAAUAUGUAAAAGGGUUGUUCAAUUAAAACGUAGAAUAUUGGAAUUUCACACCAAUAUUUUAUAGCAGCUUUGGUGCACUGGAACCAAGAAACUGACUGAGUUAACAUUGUUGACUCAUUGGCCUCAUAGCAAGUGGAAAAGGUUAACUGAGGGCAAGAGUCCAAUGAAAAGGUUAACAUUGUACUCAUUGGCGUUGAUAAUGGCCCAGCGGCGUAAACCCAAACGAAACAAGUAGUUAUCUUGAUGAGCAAGUGCUAUGAAAGAAUGGACUUGUUCUUCAUCUAUUGGUUUCAAAUUUCUAUUGUGAAUAGGAAAGGAAAUCUCUGUUCUGGUUUACUAGAUUCUUUAAAGUUUAUGAGGCUAGAUAAAUAUGGUUAAACUGCAUCUGUAUUAACUUUCUAAAUGUUGGUCUGUUGUAGUAAUAGCACUGUAAGUACUGACUGUGUAUUACACUAAGUUUUGCUGCCAAACCAUUAAAUGAAGAUUUUAGACUUGGAAGCAAACAAUUUGAUUCUCAUCUGUUCCAGUUUUCCUGAUGCGGCCUAAGGCUGAAAUUGAUAUUAAGGAUUAGGAUUCAGUCUGAAUGAACUUGAUUGUACAUGAAAGCCACAAGGGGGAACCUGAUUCUACAAACUUUUAAUGCUUCUUAAGUGGUUGCCUUAAAGCAUCAGUUUAUAGUGAACUCAUACAAAAUCUUAGAUUGUUCAAUCAAAAAGCAAUGCAAGUAUACUACAUGAUUUGUAGUUUGCCAGUUCAUCACAUCCGAACUCUUCUACUUUAUUUGUUGAAGUUUGUAAUUUGAAUUUGCAGUCUCCAAGUAUUGUGGUCCUGGAUGUUUGUACCAUAAACUUCUUCUGUAAGAUUCAGUGCCAAAACUUCUCUUUGGGUGUUUGUUAUAUUUUUAUAAGAAAGAAAGGAAAUGGGAAGCAAUUUGAAAAAUCUCAAUCAAGUACUCAGUCACCGGAAAAACUUUGAGGCUAUGUUGCAUGGACUAAGGCAAUGGAUAAAGCCUUGGCUUAGGUCUUGCUUGACCAGAUGGCUAAAGGGAAUAAGAGUGAUGGCAAUUCUUGCAAGCCUCUAGUUUUACAAACUGCACUUGAGUAAAUGAACUCUGAAUUGGGUCUUGAAUUGACAAAAGAAAACAUAAAGAGUCACCUCAAACUGUGGAAAAGGUACCAUGCGGUGGUUACAGAUGCAAUCAAGACACAAAGUGGAUUCAAGUGGGAUGAAGAAUGAAAGAUGAUUGUUGUGACAGCAAAAGAUGUAAAUGAAUGGAAAGUUUAUGUUAAGGUACAAAACAAGCAGUCAUUUAUCUUGUGUUGCUGCCUAGUUUAUAUGAUGAAUUAAUCCACUUAUUUUCAUGCAGUCUAAUCCUGAUGCUAUGGGAAUGCAAAACAAAGUAGUUGACAAUUGGAAAGAUAUUGUUCUGUUGUGUGGGAAAGAUAGUCACUUGUGAAGGUGUUGAAACCUUUGAUGAGGGAGUUGAAGCAAUGGCAGAAGAAGAGUAAAACAAAGCAAACAGUUUAGGAAAUAUCAAAGGACACUAAUUACAGCCCUAGAAUUCUCUGGAUGUUCAGUAAAGCAAAAUCCAGAGCAGAAAAAAUAAAUACAUCACCAUAAUGGACCAUUUCACUCCAUAAGUUCAAUUAAACAGAGUCUUAUAUUUUAACCGCCACGAGGACUUCACUUUCUUCUUCUUCCCAACUGGAAGAGCCAUUUCUUUGAUCUUUUGAUACUAGGUAAGGCAUUGUUUCUUUUAUUUGUGGGUAGUAGCUAAGAGAAGCUAAAUCUUUGUCUCAAAUUUCUGUGAAAAGUAAUUUUGCCUCUGAAAACAGAGUUUGCCAAAUUCCUCCUCCGAAACAUAUCAAACUGUUCAUCAAGGAGAGGAAUGCCUCCCGUCUUUGCGAACAUCUUGAUGACUAACCCCUCUAACUAUUAUUGUUAUCAUUAUACAAAUAUAUCAAAAGAAGCAAUUUUACUUGACACAAGGAAGCGUUCAACUUUUCCAUAGAGCAGAAGAUCUAUCUGACAUUAACUAAAUGUCAGCACCAAUCUGGAUAUAAAAAAUGCGAAGUUCAAGAACAAAAGGUAAUUGUCAAACUUAGAGUAGUCUCAAAGAACACAAGCCCCUUGUAGGUGUUUUAGACUACAUAGAUUUGCAUAAAUGGAACAAAGCAUUGUCCACUUCGAUGUUUCGGAACAGAAUUGCAAAAGCACUCAGCAGUGAAGAAUCGUACAGGCCACUAAUGUCUGCAAAUGAGCAUAGGCGGCAAUAAUGUACCAAACAACAAACAACAAUUAGGAAACCAUAUAUGAACUGGCACUGACUAAUAUUUUUAGAUUUGAUCUUGCAAAGUAUGGGUAGAGUUCAAUAUUUCUUUACUGAAUCCAAUCUCAUGAUCACCUAAUUGCAGGAAGAAAAGAACCACAGCAAUAAUGUUAAAGAAGAAGUUAACGUAGCAUCUACAGAUAUUCAGAGAACGAGUUAAUGAUUUUGGCAUCCAGUACAUUAUCAACGCCCGCAAAAAGGGCAAAAGUAAUUAACUCUGCUUUUAAAUGGACCAAAAUACCACAAUACUUUAUAUGUCAAACCACGAAAACCCAAUAGUUCAGAAGAUUGCGCUCACAGGAAGGAAUCUGUAGAAUGAAACAUUAAAGUCCAGAAUCUGGAAUCAUACAGAAGAAAACAGCGCCAACAUCUUUUGGAUCCAGAAGUAGCGAAUUUGAUAUUUUGUGUUUCUUUGAGCAUCUAAAGCACAAAAGUUUCCUCCAUACGCUUAAUGAAGCACAACCUCACAGUUUUUGAAGCUCCUCCUCGACUUUGAUAACUUCUCGUUAACGAAUGAUUGCCUUUUUCCCGAAAUUCACCUUCAUAAGCAUAUAUAGACAUCUUCUGCAACACACUCCCAUGCUUCAGAAAAUAUCUUACUAUCUGAAACUCGUAUUUUCUCCCACUGAAAUUUUUUAUUUUAACUUCUGUAAGAUGCUCAUCCAAACACCAAGGUUUGUCUUUAGCACUAUUCUGUAGGAGUAUAUUGCCGUCAAUUUCCUAUCCGCACUGAUCAAAAGACAAAAGCGAAACCUUGACAUUAGAUUAAAUAAUUUUAUCUCUACCUAUUUUUAAAAGGAGAAAGGCAAAACUCAUUUGGUCCACUCCGUUCAAAUCACCCAAGUUCAAAGGCCAACUCACCAUGUCACAGACAAGCACUUCCAAUUUUCAACGCGGCAUGCCAAUAGUUCCAAGUGUGUCAAAUUUAGAAGUUCAGGUAGCAGAUGAUUUGCCUCAUUGAGACACUUCAAAUAACAUAAAGUGCAACAGUUAUUCAAAUGGAAGCAAAAUAUGUACUGUAAGCCCAAAAAUCAAGAAAAGGUCACUAAACUACAGAUAUUCACAAUUAAAAGAAAUUUACCUCUAUAAUAUAGCCCCACUAACGGAGAAUCUUUACAUUGGACAUUUCAUCAAUGAGCUGGUGAAACUGAUAAGCCUCAGUCAAAGAAAUAAAACAUAGAUCAGCUCCAAUAAAAGAUUUCAACUUGCAAGUUGAGCCAACUAGUGGGCAUGAAACAUUCCAGAUGCUCAAGAUAAUCACAUUCCAGACACUCAAGAUUCGGGGUGUUAAGAACAACCCGAUCCCCUCCAAUAGGAACAUUCCAAACCAACUUUUUUAGCAAAGGAAUCGAAAUAUCAACUAAUUCAAUAUCAAGAUGAUUGACAUUAGAAACCCGGAAAUCCCCAAGCAAUGGAUAUCUCACAGCGACUUCCCAACGUCGAGUAUUACUGAGCAGUCUCACCUCUCUUGCUAAACUCAAUACGUUCAGACGUGGAAGCACGAUCGUUCCAAUUCUGGAACCCUGAGGAUAAACUCUCACGUAAUUUCAAUACUACAAGCGAUUUGCGUCCAAAUAUAUCAGGUGGGAUGGAUUUUAAGCUCUCACAGUAGCAAACUCGUUCAACGCAAAUGUCAACAACUUCAACUUUGCUACAGAGUGGAGAAGAUAUCCACACCUUAAUUAGAUCCAUUUUCCCAUGUCAUAGCUCUAAUAAUCUAAGCCGAAAUUCUUUUAUGGAAGUUUUAUGAGUUUAUCAAGUCUCGCAGCCAAACAACGGAUUCCCGCCUCGAACAUCAAUUCAUCUUUUUUGUUAACACCAUGUCUGCCUUUUAGGUCAGGAUUUUUGAAAACCAGUGGCUCGUCAAAGUCAAUCUUGGGAACGUCUAAGAAAAGAUACCUCCACCUGGUGGAAAGGACGGAAGUCACCGCAGCAAAUUUUGUCCGGAGGAACGAGAGUAUGUGGUGGAUGAUGGCGUCAGGCAGAUCGCUGAGUUGAUCUUCUAUGGGAACUCCUGCACUACUAGUUUCCUCAGACAUGGUUAGUUUUGAGAUGGGCUGUCAACCCUUUGCCUGGGAACUAUGCCCUGCUGAGUAUUUCAAUCAUGGCUGCCUUUGAUAUGGGUUGUGAUCACAGGAAGGACUCCGGCCCUAGUGGAUGUAAGUUCCCCACUCAUGGCUUGGCUGUAAGCAUGUCAAUGGGUUGCGUUUGGAUUGAAUUCUUUUAAUUCAGAUGUAAAUCUAUUAAAUUUUGUUAGACCUAGAUCUUUGGAGAAAUUUCUAAUUUUGUGAUGAAUUUUAAAAAAAUUCUACAAAAGGGGUGAUUUUGAUUGGGUAUUCCGUAGGGGGGGUCUUCGCAUUUUGCGAAUGCGAGCUCUGCUGAGCUCGCAUUCGCAAAAUGCGAGCUCUGCUUAUUGAGCUCGCAUUCCACGAAUGCGAGCUCAAUAGAGCUCACCCUGAUAUAUAUAUAUAUAUAUAUUUUUUUUUGGGCUCUCAUUAAAUUUUUUCCAGAAAAUAGUAAGAGCUAAAUAAAAUUUUUCAAAUAGCUCGCAUUUGAUAAAUUUGACCUCUAAAAAUUGUAUUUAAUUUUUUUGUUAGAUUUCGCAUUUAUAAGUAUGACUUUCAGAAAAUUAAAUUCAAACUUGCUAGAAAAAAAAUUUAAAAUGAAAUUUACGAGCUCCCACCAAAAUGUAUCUUUUUCAGAAAAUGUUGUUUGUUUUGUAGAAUUUGCCUUUACUAAAAUGCUGUCGGUAGUAAAAUCUUAUUUUAAAAGCUCUACUAAAAUCUUAUAUUUCGGAGAAAUGUUAAAGAAAUGUUAUUUAAAAUCUGUAAUUAGCAGAGGAAUAAAUUUUUUUAUUUUAAAACUUGCACGUGCCUAAAGUCAUCAAAUAUGUGUUCUAAAAAAAAUCAUAUUUCUUUUAUAUUAAAAAAAAUUGGUAAUUGUACGGUUGAAAAUACGUUAUUUUAUUAUAAUACAUUUAAAUGGUGGAAAAAGUACACAUGCAUAGUUCUUUCUAUUUCAUAUAUCAAUGAAAAAAUAGAAUGAAAUUGUUAACAUGUAAGGUAUUGACUAUAUUUUAUGAAUAAAAUACUAACUUUUUUUCCUUUUUUAUCAAAUAAAUUUUUUUUAUCAAAUUCUAAUUUUCCUUUGUUAUUAAUGAAUCGUAUUUAUUUGUUGACACCGACGAAUUUUAGUUAUAAGAAUCUAAUAGUUAAUAGUCAUUAAUAUCUGUUACAAUUUCAACUGUAAUUUUAGAAAUUUCAUAACGCAAUGUUAUUUAAAAAAAUUAUAUAAGUUAUUUUUAUGAAGUGCAUGUUAUUUGUUUUCUUUGUUUUGCUGUUCGACAAUUCCGAAAUCUUUGUUUUGAUGUUCGGCAGCUAUGUUUCGAUAUUGCGUUCUGCUUCUCCCACUCACUUUUGUCUUUUUUUUUUUCGAAAUGGGUCUUGGCGGUAUGUAGUGCGAGAAUGCGAGCUCAAUGCGAGCUCAGUGAGCUCGCAUUUUCAGAAUGCGAGCUCAAUGUGAGCUCGCAUUCCCGGAAUGCGAGCUCAGUGAGCUCGCAUUUCCAGAAUGCGAAGACCCUCUUUUGUGGAAACAAACCCAAGAACCGCCCUCGUUGUAGAAUUCUUUUUUUUUUCCAUCAUAAACUGAGAAUUCACCCUAGAUCUUUGUGGGUCUGAAAAAAAUAAGUUCAAACCCAAAUCCUUCUGGAUCUGGUAUCCGGUAAGUAUAGGUUCUAUUUUUUUACACACACUAAAGUAAAAAUAUAUAGAUUUGAAAAAAAUAUAAACACCAUCCAAUUUUUAUUUUCAAAUAAUAAAAUUAAUAUUCAAGAAGUUGAAUGAAUAUACGACUACUUCUAUUUAUUUUUAAAACUCCUACUAUAUCUACGUCCAAUCUUUCAUUUAUUUGCCUUUACUUUUUCUUGUUUUCCUGAAAUAGUUUGUACUAAUUACAAUGAUAACUAGGAUUAGUUUGAAAAAAAAUAAUUAUGAAGUCUUAUUGUAUUCGAUCCAAUGACCAUAUAAUAUUAGAAUAUUUUAUAAAUUUACUAAUAUAUAUAUAUAUUUUUAAUUAUAUAUAUAUGGGUCUGAAUAGAGUCUGGUAUGGGUUUGAAUUUGAAUAUGGGUCAUAAAAAAUCAGAUCCUACCUAGCCCCACAACCUUGUUAUAGGAUUUGGGUCUAGAUUUGAGAAAUUAAAUCCAAAUCCUACCCAAGUAUCUUGAAUCUGGGUUGGAUUUGGGUAAGAUCCGAUACAUUGACAUGCCCACUUAGCUGCUUUUGAGAUGGGUUUCUUUCAGCCAAAGAUGCCUUAAAUAAUUAGGCGCUAUUAUUUACUUACUUUAUCCCAAAACUAAUGAUGAAAUGUAACAUAGUUUGUUGAUUAUUUUUUUAGGGUCCAUUUGGGUGCUAAAAAUAAUUUUGAGCCUUUUGAUAAAUAUCGUCCCAUAAAAUUAGAAACGAAACUUUUUCAGUUAAAAGCACUUUUAGUAAAAGAUCAAAUUUGAUGCUUUUAGAAUAACUUUUGUAUUUGAAGAAAUAAAACGUUAAAUUUAAUCAUGUUAUCCUAAAUUAUAAAUUAUGAAUUCAAUAAAGAGAUAAAUGCAUUUAAAAAUUUUCAAAUUGCACAUUAUCAAACACAAUAAGUAUUUAUUGAACUAUAUAUCCAAAUAAUAUAUUUAAAAGCAUUUAAGCACUUUUAUUAAAACUUCUAUUAUGUGAAGUAUUUUUUUGAUAAGCUAUUGCAAUCGUAAAUGGGUGAUUAGUUACAUUAUCCACAAAACUAAUUGUCAAAUGUAAUGUAGUUUGUUAACUCAAGUGAGAAAACAUGUUUCGCCCUUAGAAUUGUUAUCAGUUUACUCCAAUAAACUAUAACAUUAUUUUCAAUUUAUCUCCUAAUAUUAUUUUUUAGGCACCACUGAUGAAAUUAAUUUAGCAUAUUGCAAAAUUUUAGAUGAAGUUAGCUUCCUCUCUUACAAUUAAAAGAAAAUGAGAUACCAAAUUCAAAAAUCAACAAGUGCUCUUAUCUCUUUUUUUUUCACUCUUUUUAGUUACCAAAAAGAAAAUGAGAUAGAGGAAAGAGUAAGAACUUAAUUCUAAGAAAGAAAAUGAGAAAAAUUCAAUAUUCUCAUUAUUUUAAAAUCACUCCUCACUCUUCUACCUUCCACCAAAUUCCAACUCCGAUGACUUUAAAACGGUCAAAAUAUUAGAUUCUUCUUUAUUUUUUCUUCUUUUCAAAUUUGAGUUUUUGGUGGUCUCUCUCUCUCUCUCUCUCUCUCUCUCUCUCUCUCUCUCUCUCUCUCUCUUCCAUAUCUUUUUCUUUUUCUUUUUCUUUUUCUUUGUAUUAGUGGGAAUGAAAAAAAGAAGAAAAAACCCUUUUGCUUUUACUUUCUUGGUACUCUUAGUAUAAAAAAAAAAAGAAGAAUAAAACCAUUCUAACUUUUUAUUGUUUAAUUAUACAAAACAGAAGGAUGUUUCCAUUUAAAAUAUUUAAUAUGUUGAAUUGGCUUAGCAGUAGUAGAAAAUGCCUAAAAUAUAACAUUAGAAAAUAAACUAAUAGUAGCACUAUAAUUUAAGGGGUAAAGUGAUAAUAACACUAUACUAGUACCAUUAGAGAGAAGGAUAUUUUUGUUCAAAAUUUUACGUAAAAUGACAAGAAAAAUAACGUUAACAAGUAAAAUGAUAGUGGUGCUAUAGUUUAAAGGAAUAACAUAAUAAUAACCCCUACAUAAUGCAGAGGAACUGUUGCAAUGCAGUCGAAAGUUUUCAAAUAGGUGUUACAAUCUAUGGCACCAUCACACUCCCAAGAAAUAAACUAUCAACCAAUGUUCAGGAAAACACAAAACUGAAAAAUAUUGAUUAAGACUCCUUCAAAUCCAUGCAUAAGUAACGGGUAAAAAUUUGCUUUCAAAUGAAGGUUGACAUCCGUGCACAAGCAAGCACAUCGAGACAUUAUCCAAUUAAGUUAUUGUAGUUCAACUGAAAUUUAUUGUAAAGGAAUUUUAAAAUUAACUUGUUAGUGAAUUCAACAAUCAAAAAACACAGCAAUCAGCAGCCUAGCAUAAUUCUCCAGUCACUUGAACUUUGACACAUCCAGUCUAUUGCCCAUCAAUUUCUUAAGUUAGCCACCUGAUCAUUAACCCUGCAAUUGAAUGUGUAAAUACUUGAAUUACACUGGACGGAUCAUUGCUAAAGUUUCGUUAUCACUAUCUUGUGCCUUCCUAAUGCUACCAUCACCUCCGCAGUCUCAUCCAAAAUGGUUAAACCAAUUCUACCCUGCCCUUUUUUUUCCCACGUUCCAUCCAUAUUGAUCUUCAAAGCAUCAACGGGUGAUUUGUUCUGCUUGACAGGUGCCGAGCCUGUGCAAUAAUAAAUACCUACUCGAGAAAAAUAAAUUUUCUGUGUAUAGUAGUGAGUAGGGUCAAAUCCACAGGGACUGGAAAAAAUUCGAUUCUUUUCAAGUUCGGGACACGGGGGGUUUUAUCAAGAUGAAAUUAAAAAUAAAUAAUUAAACAAUUUAACUAAAAAUAAUUAACCAAAAUAAAUAAUUAAUUAAUACAAUUGUAAAUAGCAAUUAAAUAAAUGAUAAAUAAAUUCUAGCCAAGGAUACAACUACGCAGGCACAGUCCAUUCAUCCGAUCAUUGAUGCAAAGAAGGUUCACUUAAUUUUAUUAACAGGUUAGUUAUAGUCGCCGAUAAACUCUAACAACCAGCUUUUCCAUAAUUUAUUGAUAACCAAGGUACGACCGCUGAUUACCCCUAACCAGGAAAUACUCCUAGGUACGACCGUAGGAACUAAUUUCCUAAUUGCAUUAAAAACUAGAAAAGCCUAACCCAAAUUAAUAACACGCUACGAGGGUUAUUUAAAUCAGAUUGCAUGUCCCCCUAAUAUGUGAAAAUACUAGUUGUCACUAAUAUUAACCAACUAAAUAAUUACGGAUUCAAUUGAUUAAUUUGACAGGAGAUUAAUAAGUCAAAUUGCACAUCGGGCCCUUGAUAUCCAAUAAUUGUAUAGAGUUUCACAAUAAUCUUCUCAAGAAGGUUUCUGCUCCACUUUCUGAAAGUAUAUCCAAAUAUCAAAUAUAAAUAUAUAUUGACAAUUAAAGCAAUAUUUGGCAAGGAUAAAGAGGAGAAUUAACAAUAAAAUUACUAACAAUUAACACCCUAUCAAUUCCCCCCACACUUAAAUCAUGCUUGUCCUCAAGCAUGGGAACACUAAACUCAACAAUGGCUAACUCUCAUUUCAUUUACUGCCAAGCUACGCUUAUCCCAAAAUCAAGUUUUAGUGGUUAAGUGUCAAGACAUAUUUCUCCCGGUUAGCUCCUGAAAUCAUAGACUCGUCCAAUUCAUGGCUAAGUCGUCUAAGAAAUCAAAAUAUUAAACUAGCAAAAGUUAGCAAUUGGGUCAAUUGAAAAUCAAAAUCUCAACAUUGAAGAACAAGGAUCGGCAGGCCAACAUGAUCAUAAACUUACUUAUUAUUUUCUUUUCUCUUUUUUUUUUUUUCAAUAAAUGCUCAGUCCCAAGCUAUUCAAGUCUUUUGACGUGAACUCUGACAUUUUUAGAUGAAAGAGCCCAGUUACUCAACUCUUCACAGCUUCAGGACUAACUACUCAUAUAUAUAGUCACUUUUUGACGCGAAAGUCGACACUUGUGGUGAAGACUCCCGGUUACUGGGUGACGACACUAGCGGAGUAGGGUCAUUUAUUACUCACAAUUAAAGCACCAGAAAACCAGAUAAUUAAAGAUCAUGGCCCACGUCAUCUCCUAAUAUGGAGAACUAAGAUCAACAAUUGCCUAAUCCACACAACAAUUGCUAGGAAAAUAUUUAUAUUGCCUAAACAAUUUAACCACAAUUUGCACCAAGUCAUUAAACUCAUGAUAUUCACCAAGAUAACAUGCUUUUACUUGCCACUUAAACUAAAUUCAUAGAAUAAAUCAUAACCAGCAAUAGACGAGUGAGAUGCCACAUUUAUUCAUCAAAACACUAGUAAGAAAGGCAGCAAAUUAAAGAAACACCAAUCAAAACUAAACCCAAAUCCCCCCCACACUUGAAUCACACAUUGCCCUCAAUGUGAUAAUGAAACAGUAAAAAUAAGAAGAAGGACAACGAAACUCCCCUGAAGCUGGUGCCAGCUAUUAGCACCUGUAGUUGGAGGAGGUGAAGCGGAGGUCAAAGGGUCGGGAUCGUGGUUUCACCAUUCUUUCCAAAUUGCACUCCAAACCACAAUAGACAACAGUUGCUAACGAAUAAUGGAAACAAGAAAUUCAAAGCACUAACAAAUGAAAAAUCAAGUCAAUGAACAAAAUGCACACUGCAUUCACUCGCAAGUUAUACAGAUAUUUCAACACUUAUAACAAAUGCAAUCAAUAAACACUUGUGGUUCCAAACUUAGCCAAAUGUAAUAAUAAUGCACCUCAAAAUCACCCCAAUCAAUGUAGUAAUUGAAAUGCAAACAGACAAAAGGCUCUCAUAUAAGGCAAUUGAAGGCAAUGUACUUCAAUAAGUAAAUUUAAGUGUUAAAGGCACCUCCCAAUUGAACAAACAACUGUAGCAAAUUACCCACAGUUAGACACAAAGUACAGCAGAAUAAGUAAAUCACACGACUAACCACAAGUCAAUCUACUAAAUAAAUAAAAAUCAAGCAAAGUGAAAAGAAACAAGCAAAGUAACACAGAAGUACCCAACUAAGGAGGAAUAGAAAUGUCAGGUAGUCCAAACACGCAAAAUUUUCAAAAACGUACUGUAAUAAAAAUAAUAAAAACAUACUGCAAUAAUAAAAUAAGAAAAUGAAAAAAAAUAAUAGAAAGAGAUUGAGGCAGGCGCGUGCAUACGAAGCCAGUGGUGCGAUGAAGGUGGUGGCUGUGAGAGAGAAGAGUUUGCGGCAGCUGGAUCUGGUGGUGCGCGGCUUUCGGGGCUUCAGGCGGAUCUUGGAGGCGGUGGCUAUGGCAAGGGUGAAGGAGGUCAGAUGAGCUGGUGGUCACCCUUGGCGAGGAGAGCCGAGGCAGCGGCGAGAAGAGCUGGGGUGGGCGGCGGUUGCGGCAGCAGCGUCCGGCGUGGGCAGCGUCGACGAGCGGCAGGGAGGAGCGGCGCGCGAGCCAGUUGCCGCGACUGUCGUGGGUCAGCGGAGCUUCUGGCGGCGGCGAAUGAAGAAGAAAAGAAAAGGGGGAAAAAGGGCAAGCAGCGGGGAAGAAAAGAAGAAAGAAAGAAGAAAAGAAGGAAAGAAAGAAUACAAAUUUUUUUUUUUUUUUCGAGCAUUCUGGACAGAAUCCGGAUUUAUGGCCGGAUUUGCUGCAGAAAAAGCUGUUUUCUGUAGUUUUUCCUCCAAAUUUGCUUGGCCAACCUUCCACAUUCAACCUACUUCAUGUUCUUUGAAUAAAAUUCAAAUUUAAUAUGAUCAUGCAUGAAUAUAACUUAAACAUGAAACACUUUAAAUGCAUGAAAUGCAGCAAUUGAACAUGAAAACUCCCUUUUUGUCUUAAUAUAAACACCCUUGCAAUUGAGAUCAUUUGCAUGAACUCUUGCCAUUGCCUCCUACAAAACACACAAACAUUAAUCGAAGAACUAAAACUUACUAAAAACAAGCCAACAUGAAGAAAAGUAAAGUUGAAAAGUGAUCCAAGCCUUCGUUUUUAAAAGGAUCCGAGGUCGUAUCAUUGUGCUCAGAAAACGCGGCUCAAGAAAACGCGCCUCAAGGUGCGUUUUGUGAAGUCGCGUUUCUUCACCAAAUUUGCAGCAUUGAAAACGCGACUACGUGAGAAAACGCGACUUUAAGUCGCGUAUUUGAAGGCGCGUUUUUGGUUUCUGAACAGGCUGAAAAACGCGACUGGGUAGAAAACGCGACUUCCUGUCGCGUUUUGAAGGCGCGUUUUCUUAAUUAUAGGAGCAGAUUUGAAAACGCGAUUCUAUGAAAACGCGAUUCAGUGGCGCGUUUCAUUGAAAAACGCGUUUUCUGCUGCAAAAUUUAGCAGAAAUUCAACUUUUGAAUAUUUACAAAUGAUACCCCAAUUUCCCAAAAUGCAUCAUAGAUCAUUUCUAUGUCAAAAUAAAUCAUUCACGCAUAUGUAAAAUGAUCUAUACAUGCAUUCUAAACCUCUUUAAUGCAUCAAAAACCACAAUUACUGAAUUUGAGGUAUUGAGAUCUUUGAUCAAAUUUCGCCUUUUUUGCCUCAUUUGGUCACUUUUCCAAAACCUACAAAUGAAAAAUAACAAAAUUACUCAAACUUAUACUUUAAACAUAAAAUCACUCCAAAGUAACAGCAACUUAAAAAAAAAAUUGGGUUGCCUCCCAAAAGCGCCUUUCUUUAACGUCUUUGGCUAGACGGAGUCCAGAAUUUGCUUAAACUAAGCAAAUCGGGUCUUCCAGUUGCAUCAUCUCCACCCGUUCAAUUGGAAAUCUUUCAUAAUACGGCUUGUGACGAUGACCAUUCACCACAAAUUUCUUCUCCGUUUUCAAACUUUGGAUCUCUACUGCACCAUAAUGAAAGACAUUAGUCACAACAAAAGGGCCAAUCCAACGAGAACGUAAUUUACCUGAAAAUAGUUUCAAUUUGGAGUGGUAUAGCAAAACUUUUUGCCCGCAGACGAAUGUCUUCCUAGAGAUCUGUUGGUCAUGAAAGAUCCGAUUCUUCUCCUUAUAGAUCACUGCAUUCUCGUAUGCUUCAUUUCGAAUUUCUUCCAACUCUAGUAAUUGUAACUUUCUUUGAAUUCCGCCUUCCUCGAUAUCCAUGUUGCAUUGUUUGACCGCCCAAAAUGCUCUAUGCUCAAACUCGACCGGGAGAUGACAUGGCUUUCCAAAUACCAAUCGGUAAGGGGACAUGCCAAUGGGUGUCUUGUAUGCCGUCCUAUAUGCCCAUAGUGCAUCAUCUAGUCUCACACUCCAAUCCUUCCUAUCGGGUCGGACCAUCUUUUCUAGAAUUGAUUUGAUCUCUCGGUUUGAUGCUUCCGCCUGACCAUUUGUUUGAGGAUGGUAGGAUGUAGAGAUUUUGUGCAAGACACCAUAUCUCCUAAAAAUUGCAGCGAUCGUUUUGUUGCAGAAAUGAGUACCCCGAUCACUUACAAUUGCUCGCGGCAUCCCAAAGCGAACAAAAAUAUUAGACUUAACAAAUUCUGCAACCACUUUGGAAUCAUUAGUGCGGGUAGCCUUUGCUUCUACCCACUUCGAAACAUAAUCUACAGCAAGCAAUAUAUACAAAAAACCAAAGGACGAAGGAAAAGGACCCAUAAAAUCAAUGCCCCAAACGUCAAAAAUUUCAACAAAAAUCAUUGGGGUUUGAGUCAUUUGAUCCCUACGAGAGAUAUUACCCACUCUUUGACACUUAUCACAUGACUUACAAAAUGAGUAGGCAUCCUUGAAUAGAGUUGGCCAAUAGAAUCCACUCUCUAGCACCUUACGAGCCGUUCUCUUUGGUCCAAAGUGACCUCCACAUGCAAAAGAGUGACAAUAGGCUAGAAUAGAUUGAAAUUCAACUUCACUUACACAUCUACGGAUGAUUUGAUCGGCACCCCGCUUCCAGAGGUAAGGAUCAUCCCAAAUGUAGAACUUUGCAUCGCUCCUCAACUUGUCUCUCUUUGCCUUAGGCCAUCCUGUAGGAAAUUUGUCAGUAACUAGAAAAUUAACAAUAUCUGCAUACCAAGGUAAAGAUGAGUUAAUAGAAAAUAAAUGCUCCUCGGGGAAUGCUUCUCUCAAUGGGAUGUCAUCUUCGACGACUUGUACUCGACUCAAGUGAUCUGCUACCAGAUUCUCCGCCCCUUUCUUAUCUCGGAUCUCCAGGUCGAACUCCUGUAGCAAUAAUAUCCACCGUAUCAAUCGCGGUUUUGCCUCUUUUUUUGUCAACAAAUACCGCAAAGCUGCAUGAUCAGAAAAAAUAAUAACUUUAGCACCAAGUAAAUAAGACCGAAAUUUUUCUAAGGCAAAAACAACUGCUAAAAGCUCUUUUUCGGUGGUUGAAUAGUUCAAUUGAGCUCCGUUCAAGGCUCGAGAUGCGUAGUAGAUAGCAUGAGCUGCCUUUCCUACUCUUUGACCCAAUACCGCACCCACUGCAUAGUCGCUGGCGUCACACAUGAUCUCGAAUGGGAGGUUCCAGUCAGGGGGUUGGAUAAUAGGUGAGGUGGUCAAUAACUCCUUUAACUUAUUGAAUGCCCCCUUACAUGUUUCAUCAAAUUCGAAGGAUACAUCUUUUUGCAAAAGUUGGAACAAGGGUGCUCCAAUUUUCGAGAAGUCCUUGAUGAACCUUCUAUAGAAACCUGCGUGACCCAAGAAGGAACGAACUUCCCGCACACUCGCGGGGUAAGGUAAAGUAGAUAUAACAUCUAUUUUUGCCUUAUCAACCUCAAUACCUGUAGAUGAUACAACAUGACCCAAAACUAUCCCGUGUUCAACCAUAAAAUGACAUUUUUCCCAAUUAAGCACGAGAUUAGUUUCUAUACACCUUACUAAGAUCAAUUUCAGGUUAUCUAGACAGUUUUCAAAACUUUCACCAUAUACACUGAAAUCGUCCAUGAAAACCUCAAUAAUUUUCUCAACAUAUUCUGAAAAAAUACUUACCAUGCAUCUUUGGAAGGUAGCAGGUGCAUUGCACAAUCCAAAUGGCAUCCUUCGGUAUGCAAAUGUCCCAAAUGGGCAGGUGAAAGUAGUCUUCUCUUGAUCUUCGGGUGCGAUGGCAAUUUGAAAAUAACCUGAAAAUCCAUCCAAGAAACAAUAGUAAGCUCGACAUGCUAAUCGCUCCACCAUCUGAUCAAUGAAAGGGAGGGGAAAAUGGUCCUUUUUCGUGACGGCAUUUAGCUUUCGGUAAUCGAUACACUGUCGCCAUCCGGUGGGCUUUCGAAUUGGUACGAGCUCACCCUCUUGGUUUGAUUCCACUGUCACCCCUGCCUUCUUCGGGACCACCUGUACUGGACUUACCCACGGGCUAUCUGAUAUUGCAAAUAUAAUUCCAACGUCCAGCAGUUUUAAAAUCUCUUUCUUUACGACCUCCAUCAUGAGAGGAUUUAAUCUCCGUUGAGCUUGCCGUACGGGUUUAGCAUUCUCCUCGAGUUGAAUUCGGUGCAUACACACCGCAGGGCUAAUUCCCUUGAUGUCGGCGAUGGUCCAUCCUAUCGCCUGCUUAUGUUCCCUAAGAACUCGAAGUAGUUUCUCUUCUUGAACCUUUGAUAAACCCGCGGAGAUGAUCACUGGAAGUGUCUCCCCUUCACCUAAGUAUACAUACUUUAGGUGUUUCGGCAGUGGUUUUAGUUCCAAGACAGGUGCCUGCACCACAGAUGGAAGUAACCUUUGGUGAGGUUCGGGUAUGAAAAUCGGUACAAGAUCAUACCUUGUUUUCGUGGUUGGUAAUGUUUGCAACGAUCCAAUCACGCAUUUAAGCUCUUCACUCAACUCUACCCUAGAGGUCGUUUCGGACUCAAAGUGCCUGGUCAGGACGACCUCUAGUUCAUCCCUGCCUUCAAUUUCAAAAACCUCCUGUAUAGCAUGGUCAAUAACAUUUAUCGAGAAAACAGAGCCAAUAUUUGAAUCGGAUGGAUAUUUCAUGGUCUCAAAGAUGUUAAAGUGAACAAUCUCACCAUCAAAUUCCAUAGACAAAGUACCCUUAUUAACAUCAAUUUUGGUUCGGGCUGUGCUCAAAAAGGGUCUACCUAACAACAAAGGUGACGGAUCACGGAAGUGUUCAUCCUCCAUGUCGAGCACAUAAAAAUCAGCUGGAAAAACCAAUUCGUUAAUUUUUACCAAAACAUCUUCAAUCAACCCGUCAGGGUAUGCAUUGGUCCUGUCAGCUAAUUGGAUUAUUAUCCCAGUCUCUUUCAAAGGGCCUAAGUUUAAGGAAGCAUAAAUGGACUUUGGCAUGACAUUAAUUGAGGCUCCCAGGUCUAACAUGGCCUUUCCAAUCAAAGUAUUACCUAUCCUACAAGGAAUAGUAAACAUACCUGGAUCUCCGCAUUUUGGUGGAAGUUUCCUUUGUAGAAUUGCUGAAACAUUCUCCCCAACUAUAACUCGUUCAUCCCCCUUCAACCGCUUGCGGUUGGCACACAGGUCCCUCAAAAAUUUUGCGUACCUGGGUACUUGUUUAAUCGCAUCCAGCAGGGGUAUGUUGAUCUCCACCUUGCGAAAGAUCUCCAAGACCUCUUUUUCCUUGUCUUGCUUCUUUGGUUUCUCUAACCUGCUAGGAAAGGGAGGUGGAUUAGUUUUAGUUGUAGGAAUUGGGUUCGAGGGUACCUUUGCAUUUUUGUUGUCUGUGCCCUCCUCUUCCAAUUCUUUCUCAAUCCGUUCCUCGUCCUUGUCUUUAGGAAUCACCGGUUCGGGUCCUUGAACUUCCUUGCCACUCCUUAAGGUCAUUGCGCUUACAUUCUUUGGAUUUGCCUCAGGUUGAGAUGGCAACUUUCCUUGAACUUGGGACUCCAACCGGUUGAUUGUUAUAGCCAUUUGAUUCAUUUGAUUUUGCAAUGAUUGCACCUGUCCCAGUUGAUUCCUCAUACUUUGCAAGUCUGAAUCCGUCUUUUGUUGAUUAGCAAGUAAUUGCUUCAUCAUCUCUUCCAUGGACGGACUUGAGUUUGAAAGUGGUGGUGGUGGUGGUGGGCGAUGAUGGUACUGCUGUUGGUGUCCUUGCUGUCUAUUUGGCACAAAGUUAGACUGCCUAUUUCCUCCAUAACUAAGGUUGGGGUGAUCCCUCCAACCAGGAUUGUAGGUACUUGAGUAUGGGUCGUACGGCUUUCUUGGCGCGGGCGCGUGGCCAGCCAUGUUCACCUGUUCAGCAGUUUCUUCUUGAACCAAUGGACACAUUUCGGUAGGAUGACCCACGGCAGUGCAUACCCCGCACACUUUGGCUUGCGAUGUAUUCCCCACAGCUAGUUGUCGUACAAAAGAUGUCAAUUCGGAGAGUUGCUGUUGAAUAGAGGAUGUUUCUACCUCAUUCACCCUACGCGUCGGGAUGUCCUCUCUUGAACCAAACUGCUGUGAGUUCUCAGCCAUCCCUUCAAUCAACUCCCAGGCUCCUCGAGGAGUCUUGUUCACCAAUGCCCCUCCACUUGCAGCAUCGAUUAUGCUUCUGUCCCUGAAAAGCAACCCCUCAUAGAAAUAUUGAAUGAGCAGUUGCUCACUUAUCUGAUGCUGAGGGCAUUUGGUGCACAGUUUCUUAAACCUCUCCCAGUACUCAUAGAGUGACUCGCCUGGGUGUUGUUUAAUGCCACAUAUCUCCUUCCUUAGGCUCGCAGCUCGAGACGCAGGAAAGUACUUGUCCAAGAAUUUUUUCUUUAGUUGGUCCCACGUGGUGAUACUACCAGGCGGUAGGUAGUAGAGCCAGUCUUUUGCGGAAUCCUUCAAAGAGAAGGGGAAGGCCCUCAUCUUUAUUUGCUCUUCAGUAAUUCCCGGAGGCUUCAUACUGUUGCAAACGACGUCAAACUCUUGCAAGUGCUUGUAGGGCUCCUCACCUGGUAGACCAUGAAAAGAUGGCAAGAGAUGAAUUAGACCAGAUUUUAGUUCAAAGGGAGUGUCAUCAUUUAAAUGUGGAAAAGUAAUGCACAAGGGCUGCUGAUUUAAAUCUGGAGCAGCCAACUCCCUUAGUGUUCGUGCAUUUGCCAUAGUGACUUCCUCUUGGUCUGAAUCACUUGAAUUGUCACCAGACAAAUUUGUCGGCUCAACCUCUGGAUCAAGUCCCUGAGGUGCAAUAUCGUAUUGCUCCUCCCUGAGCCGCCUGGUUUCUUUCCUCGUUCUACGCGCGGUCUUCUCUACUUCAGGGUCGAAAAUUAAUUCGCCUGUACGAGAAGAGCGAGGCAUAAACUAGAAAAAUAACAGAAAAAAAUGAACUUAAAAAGAAACAAAUGAUUAACGCCAGUCCCCGGCAACGGCGCCAAAAAUUGACAGGUGUCGAGCCUGUGCAAUAAUAAAUACCUACUCGAGAAAAAUGAAUUUUCUGUGUAUAGUAGUGAGUAGGGUCGAAUCCACAGGGACUGGGAAAAAUUUGAUUCCUUUCAAGUUCGGGACACGGGGGAUUUUUAUCGGAAAUAAACUAAAAAUAAUUAAACAAUUUAACUAAAAAUAAUUAAAUAAUUUAACCAAAAAUAAAUAAUUAAUUAAUACAAUUGUAAAUAGCAAUUAGAUAAAUGAUAAAUAAAUUCUAGCCAAGGAUACAACUACGCAGACACAGUCCAUUCAUCCGAUCAUUGAUGCAAAGAAGGUUCACUUAAUUUUAUUAAUAGGCUAGUUAUAGUCGCCGAUAAACUCUAACGACCAGCUUUUCCUUAAUUUAUUGAUAACCAAGGUACGAUCGUUGAUUACUUCUAACCAGGAAAUACUCCUAGGUACGACCGUAGGAAUUAAUUUCCUAAUUGCAUUAAAAACUAGAAAAGCCUAACCCAAAUUAAUAACACGCUACGAGGGUUAUUUAAAUCAGAUUGCAUGUUCUCCUAGUAUGUGAAAAUACUAGUUGUCACUAAUAUUAACCAACUAAACAAUUACGGAUUUAAUUGAUUAAUUUGACAGGAGAUUAAUAAGUCAAAUUGCACAUCGGGCCCUUGAUAUCCAAUUAACAAAAUAAUCCCAUGGAAAUUAAAAUAGAAAACAUGCAAAUAUUAACAAAUUAAGGAACACGUAAAAUUAAUUAGAUCUCACAGAUAUUUGGGAUUGCGUCUUCGCGUUGAUCCUUGACUAGAGGAGAAAAUUAGCCACGCCUCAUAAGAAAAUUCCCACGCAAUUUAAUUGAACUCAAAGACAUUUAUCUCUUACUAAUAAUUAAAAAUAAGGAUUAUAUUCUCUGUAGUCUAAUACAAUAAAAAUAGUCUCAUGGAAGAGACGGAAGAAAACAAGACACGCAAGAAAUCUUCACCCCAAAACUAAAAACUCCUCUUUCCAGACGGAAGAGAAGAAGAAAAACUGAGCUGCGGAAAUGUGCGACUCUCCCACAUAUAAAAACAAGCCAAUUCGAAACUUCACUCCACGCUUACAAAAGAAAACAUUCCUUCCCUACCUAAUCAACUCCACCGAAAACAAAAGCAAAGCCAACUAUGGUUUGUCGGUUUCCUUUGACCAAGUGCACACGUUCACAAAUAAGAAAGCAAACCAAAAAUGUGUCUUUACACAAUGAUCAAGUCUUCGCGGUCCCCACCUAAUUGAGAUGUUGGCCAGCCAAAUGCAAUUCAAUUCCUUUUCAUCAUAGAAAGAAAAGGACGUUGGUUUACACCAUGCAUAUGGGCCAAUUGUAUAGAGUUUCACAAUAAUCUUCUCAAGAAGGUUUCUGCUCCACUUUCUGAAAGUAUAUCCAAAUAUCAAAUAUAAAUAUAUAUUGACAAUUAAAGCAAUAUUUGGCAAGGAUAAAGAGGAGAAUUAACAAUAAAAUUACUAACAAUUAACACCCUAUCAGGGGACAAUAUAACCUCGACAUCAGAAAAUCUUUUACCUUGGUAUGAAUGCACAACCGGUGACAGUUGCCUGGCUCAUUAAAGGUGAAAAGCUCUUCAGACCCAUGUAAUACGCAAAGAAACUUUUCUUCUUUGGCUUUCGCCACACAAAAUUCAACUAACAAAUCAUGAAUGCUACAAGUUUUAACCCUAGUAAAGGAUCUCUUUUCCGCAACCAUGACCAAGCUUCUAUUAAUCAGAUCCAUCAUGUAUGCCUCUGCCACCUCCUCUAAGCUCCUUGACCCACUUUUUUGCACAAAAUUUUCAGCGAUCCAUAAGCUUGUCAACUUCCAAACAGGAACUUCUUGGACCUUUGGAAAUGCUGCAAAGUAGAGAAAGCAUGGUUUCAAGUAAUCAGGUAAGUUUUUGUAACUUAGCUCCAAGGCAUCCAUGCACUCUUUUGUACCACAAACAGUGUUUGAACCUAACCUUGUUGCAACUUCUUCCCAACCAUCUUGGUUUGUUGUUGCAAGAAUUCCAGCAAUGAUGACAAUUAUGAGAGGUAAUCCAUUGCAAUUUUUUGCUAUUUUCUGCCCAAGAAUGACAAGCCCUGGAGGAAACUCUGCAUUGCGACAUAUCUUCUUUUGUAAUAAUUCCCAACUCUCAUCGUAAGCGAGCUGGCGAAGAGGGUGUAGUUUACUAUCAGUUUUAACUUCUUCAGCCACCUUAUGAAGUCGACUUGUUAACAGAAUUCUACUUCCAUUUUUAUCAUCUGGGAAUGAUAUAUGCAAGCCAUUCCAUGCCUCAAUGUCCCAAAUGUCAUCCAAAACUAUGAGAUAUCUAUUCUUCUUCAAAGAUUGGAACAGCUCCAGGGCCAAAUCAUCUUCAUCCUUCCCAGAAUAUUGAGCCGUCUGUACAAUACAACCCAGAAUCUCAAGUAACAAGUUUUUCAUGCAAUAUGCUUGAGAAACAUGACACCAUGCUUGAACAUGAAAGUGACGUCUAAUUCUGGGAUCAUUAUAGAUUUUUUUGGCUAAAGUUGUCUUACCAAGCCCAGGCAUUCCCAAGAUCGAGACCAUGUCCAGCUUCAUCGAUCCUCGAGUAAGUUGAUUGACUAUUGUUUCUGUCUCAUCGUGCAAGCCAACUAUAACUUCGUCAAUUGUUUGGAUACUACCUUGUGGCGGCUCAUGACUUAGCACCUUGGCAUCUUUUACAGCUACAAAACCAUAAUUACUAUUAUCUGUGAAACCAACUUUGUUGAUUCUUGGAGAGUUCAGUAUUGAUGUUGCAGGGUGCUUAUUUAGAAUUCCUGUUUUAAGAAGUUUAACUUUUCCCAGCAAAUUGAAAAGGGAAUGAUCCACUUCCUUGGCCAAGACUGACUUCAGAUUGCUCAGAAAAAGAGAGCAAACUACUACACCUGCAUCACUAACCACAACCGGAACAAGAUCCUUUAGAUUUUCAUCUAGGUCAUUGAGCUUCUCCUGCUGCUUCAUGAGAAUGGUUCUCAGGAAUCUCAAAUGCUCAUAGAGUACCUGCAGUUGAUCCUUCAGAGAAAUCAUGACACUAGUACGGCAAUGAAGUAUCUCAAAAAGAUUAACCAGGUGAGAAUCAACAAACUGCCCCAAUAUAUGCAGAUCCUUCUCUGAAGGCUGAGUGUUAGAUGAUUCUGAUGAAGUUGAAGCUAUCAGGAGUUGGACAUAAAUCUCAAGAACUCCAAGAUCAUCAGCCUUAAUCUUCUGUAGCAAUUCAGGAAUCAACUGACUAUCAGCUUUGACUUGGGGAUCAUCAGCUCUGAUCUCCUGUAGUUCUACAAAUAUCAAGAACAUUUUAUCCUUUCUAUCAAACCAAUACAUGCAAGUAGCCAAUGCUGCUCUCAAAGCAAGUACUUCAAAUUGAGUCGAGAGAUUUUCCAAUUGCCCAUGCCUAACACCUCGCCAUGUGACAUAGAGGAUAAAAUUUCUAAAGAACAUCAGCCUCUCUUCAAGGGCUUCAAUAAAUUCUGGAAAGACUUUAUCAUAAGCUCUUACCAUAUAAAAAGCUUGAUCAUAAGGCUUGCUCCAUUUGAGAUCCUCCAGAUUUUUAAGCAGUGAGUCAAUGGUCUCCAUAAGUUCACCUCUUGCAGGAGAACUGGAACGCACGGGGCAAUCCACCAGAGUGGAAUACAAUUCUUUGAUUUCUUCCUUGAAUGAACCGAUGAUUUUUCGGAAUUCAGAGACUACUUUCUCCAAGUCACUCGAUGAGAACUCUUCCCCUGAUAUUUGCAGGAAUUUCUGAAGAGCAUCUUGAAGUCUAGCCAAGGAAGAUCUCAGACUUACAUGCUUAUUAUCAUCAGAUUCCAAACAGACAUCUUUUCCACAUUUUCUCGAACAGAGAAAGAGUGUUCUCAGAAGUCUUAACUCCAACUUCAGCAUCCCCAACUCAUCCCUCUUUUUCACUAAAUAUUUAUCCAGCAACUCGAGAUUAUGCAAGAUUGCAUCGAUACAAGCGGAACCCAUCUCAGGAGAAUUUGAAUAAACUUCAAACUUGGAACUAAAUGAAAUGAAAUCUUAACUCUGGAACUUGAAGCGAUUCUCCUCUCUCCCUCUCAAGUUUUGGGUCAACCCUUUCAUUUACAAAUGAAAAAGACAGCGGGAUUAGGCCAACAUCCACACAUUCCGCGGUUGAAAAUGAACAGGUCAACUGUUAUCCUACUGAUUCCGCCGUAGCUAAAUUUACAGUAUUGUAGGUCUAUUUUUAUCUGUAACCAUUUUGGGGUGGGGGUACAAAAAAGGAUCUGUAGUUAAAAUUAAUCCAUAGGCUCGUUUGAAAAUCGGGAAAUUUUGGUUGGAAGACAGGGGGAGAAAGAAAUGGGAGUGAAAUGAGGUGACAGAUAAAAGGAAAUUGAAAGACAUUUCCCGCUCAAGUUCGGUAAUUCCGUUAAACAGGAAAACUUGAGAAUAGGAAAUAUUUGAAUAAUUUAAAGAGGAUAUAAAGUUUGGGAAGCUAUGGACAUGUGGAACAAAGUUACUAUUCAAAAUAUUAGGAAACUAUCAAUUAUAGUUUUCUCUUCACCUAAAAUAUGUUUAUAAGAGAAGUUUAAGGUAAAAUAUUAUAUGUAAAAUAUUAGCUAAACUGUACGCGUCACGUGACAACACAUUAAUAUCAAUCAAAAGUCACCAACUAACGUCAUAGGUCAUUCUACUAAAUAAGAAAUUGAUCACCAUUAUUAUUUAGUGAUAUAUGAUUGUUAUUAGUGUAUCACGUGACAUAGCACAUAACAUAUGGCUUCGAGAGUUGAAAUAUGCCUUAAACAAUCAGGCACCUGAAUCAGCUGCAUACAGUUCUGCACUACUAAUUUCUGAAGAAAGGGAAACUGAUCGUCUGGACCUGUCCACCUGACAAUGUCCAGUAAUUCCAAUACCAAGAUUCUAAGUUUAGGGAAAUCCCCUUCUUUCAUUUCCCAAACUUCUCCCCCAUGAUCUCCUCGUAGUUUGAGAACCUCAAGGUUGGGUAGCUUUCCUACCGGGGGGAAUUGCACUCCAGGAAAAGCUCGAUAGAGUUAACUUUUUUAGGUUCAAGGGAAAACAAAACUCGCAAUGGUUCUCUUUCAUAUCAUACAGAGAAAGUUUUAGUGAUUCUAAUCUGACUCAAAAAGUCCAGGUCCACAAUCUUAUUGCAAUCUUCCAUGGUUCCUUGGCUUCAGAGACUCUGCAUUUUAGUCUUUGGAUUUUUGGAAAUUUUCUCAUUAUUGUUUCCAUCUGUUGUCCAACAUACAGAAUUGGAGUGAAAAAGGUGUCUAUAUUCUUCAGAUCAUGGGAGUUUUCAAGAUUCUCUCCGGCCAAAGUAAGGUGUAAAAAGCCACCACUUAUGUGGAGAUGCCUCAAUUUCGUCACAUUCCAGAUGGUAUCUGGCAAGGAAACAGAACAAUAAUAUACUUCCAACAGGAAAGUUUCCAAGUUUGAUAGGUUCGCUAUUGAUGAUGGGAUGGAUUGCAUUGCACCUAGAACUGCCAGAUAUCUCAAGUGAACAAGCAAUUCAAUCUCGGUAAAAAGUCACCUAGAUGAACUUGCUGUAGAUCCAAAACUUUAAGAAGUUUGAAGAUGCGAAAAAUGAAUGAGAUAUUACACCGAUUAAGAGGGUACCCAUCGUCACAAGUAAAGAACAGUAGGCUGCGUAGUUGGCUACAAAAUGGCCUCGACUUCUCAAGAUGCUCUCCUUCAGAAUAAGUGCACAACCUGCGUAUAUUGUGUGGCUCAUCAAAUGUAAGAAGCUCAUCAUAUCCAUGCAAAAAUUGCAGGAAAUUUUCCUCUUUCGCUUUUGCCAAACAAAACUCAUGUAACAAAUCAUGAAUGUGGCAAGUUUUGACCCCUCCUGUGGAGCUGCGUUUUGCCAACAUAACCAAGCUUUUGCCAAUUAGACCCAUCACGUAAUCCUCUGCUAUGUCCUUUAAGCUCCUUCCCUCUGAUUUUUGCACAAAUCCUUCCGCGAUCCAUAACCACAUCAACCUCCAAAUAGGAAUUUCUUGGUCUUUUAAAUAUGCUCCAAAUUAGAGAAAGCAUGGCUUCAAACAAUCAGGUAGAUAUCUGUAGCUCAUCUCUAAUAUGUUCAUGCAGCGCUCUGUGCCACAAACAAUAUCAGAACUUAGCCCUUCUGCAACUGCUUCCCAACCAUCUUCCUCCAUAGUUGCAAGAAUCCCAGCUAUGAUGACAACUGAUAGAGGUAGCCCAUUACAAUUCUUAGCUAUUUGGAUUCCAAGAUCACAUAGUUCUUGUGGAAAAGCUUUUCCAGGAAAUAGCUUCUUUCACAAUAGUUCCCAGCUCUCAUCAUAACUAAGUUGGCGAAGAGGGUAAGGUCUACCAUCGGGUUUAAUCUGCAAAGCCACCUCUUGAAGUCGACUUGUCAAGAGUACUAGCAUCAUUGGUGAAUGACCUUUCCAACCCAUUCCUUGCAUCUAUAUCCCAAACAUCAUCCAAAAUGAUGAGAUGCCUAUUUCCUUUCAAACAUCUGUAGAGUUUUUCCACCAAACCAUCUUCAUUCAUUGCAAAAUAUUCAUGACAAAGCUUCGGAACAAUACAAUCCAGAAUCUCGAGAAAUAUAUCUUUCGUACGAUACUUGAGAAAUGCAACACCAUACUUCUUACCAUCAUAAAUCUUCAAGGCUUCAGUCUUAAUAUGUUUGAUUUCUUCUCUAAGGCUACUAAGUAACAUAGCAGAAGAAUAAGUAGUGUCUCCAACCAGUAACGAGUCAAUGACAAACUCAAGCCUUGUGUCCCACCUCUGUAACAGGAUUCCAAAGAGCUUGAAGCUUUUCAUCCAGGCUGCACUGCUCCACAAUACUCUCCAGUAAAGAUCUUAGAAAUACAAGAUCUUCCUGCACUGUUUGAAUCUGAUCCUUUGCAAAAGCAAUUGAUUCAACCUUGCAGCUUAGUAGUUCCUUCAUAUUUUCAAGGAGAUAAUCGUCAAAGCCCGGCUCAUUUGUCUUGGAAAGUCAAAUUCUGACGUUAAUGGGCACUUGUCUGCAAUUUUGGGCGUCAAAAGCGUAACUAUUUCGAGCCAAGCAAAGAGCACAAGCUCCAUUUCCACGGCUGACCCUUGUUCCAAUUCAUGAGUAAAAAGCCAGCAAGUUAUAGUACCAGCACUAUUUACAAAAAAUUAUCAUACAAGUAUGCUCUCAAACGCUAGAAAUAAGUAUUUAUUAAGUACUUUUUGUAACAAUUCUAUUAAACAAAGUACUUUAUUAUAAAUUACCGCAAUCCUGAAUUGGCUCUAAAUAUGCAAGAGGAAUCUGGGAAUUUGGGAAGCAUAACUGAAAAAGGGUUGAAAAUUAUGGCAAAAUGUAAUGAAAAUUAAUCAUCACGAAAUUGAUUCUACGUUUUGUGUAAUUAUUUUUAUACUUGAUAAACUUUGUACAUCUGGUCAAAUUCUGCCACAAUGAAGAAAUAAUGAAGGAAUUGCGUCUGAAUCACAUUUUUUUAUGGAUGGUUUUCUUUUUCUUUUUUCUUUUUUUUUUUCAAUUUGUGGUAACUUUUUGGUAUCUCAUUUACAAUUCAAAGUUGCAACCUAAAAGGAUAACUUUUAUGUUCUAAAUUGUGUCACCCUAAAUGGUAAAGUUAUAAACUUUUUUUUUUUCUUAUCUUCACUUUAUCCUUGUGGUAAAACGUAUUGGGAUACUUGGUCAAAAACUUUGGCAAGUUUAAUUAGCAACUCACUAUUGCUUUGGAAAUGCUUUUUCUCUAAUGUUUGGUCUCAUUGUUUUUGCUUCAAAUUACCCCUUUUUUUAUUCAAUUUUUUGCCUUUCAUAUGAGCACUUCCUAGUUUGAUCAAUUCCAAAAAUUUCGCUCUGCAACUUUAGUCCAUCUGCUGGAGAAAUGAACUUCAAAAUAUAGACAGAUGAAGGAGAAAAUUGUGGUGCAGACAAAGAAAUCCAGACAAACAUGAAGAGAAAUUGUUGGAGCAAAUGAGGAAAGGUCACCAGAAAUAGCAAUUUCAAAACUUCAUUGUCAAACCACUAGCAAUAGAAGAAUUCAACUGUGGCUGCACUUUCAUUACAGAAGGCAGUGAAAACAAAUUCAAAGUAUCAGAAGUAGCAAGAAAAUGAAGAAAAACAAAGAGUGUCCUAAGCUGAAACCAUUGCCAGGUGCUGAAGUGAAACACAGAAGCUAAUAGAUGAUAACAGAUGAAACACUCAGCAAUAUUCUUUAUUCACAAAAAUCCACUACAGUCAUGCAUUUAUUAGUACAAAGCAUCCUUCUUCAAACAAGAACUAAACUUGGUAACAGGUGGUCAUCACAACUUCAUUUAUUAAUUAGUACAUUGAUUUCAUAUCCAAAUCUCUGUCAACAAUGAAAAACAUAAAUAGAUUCAACCACUUGACAUGUUAUGCGACAUGUGAGGGCGAAUUCUUGCUUCUGAACAGAACAUCCAUGGUCUCGUAUCACUGGAAGAUAAAGAUCUUGAAAUCAUAAUUUCCUGAGCUGUUCUGUUCCUCCUCAAUCUUCAAAAGUAAACUUCUAUCCAAGACUGGGCAGUCACGCACCUCAAUCAUUCCUAGAUGUUCAAUAACCUCUAAGCAAGAAGGGAUCUCUUCUAGUUUGCGACAUUCCUGCAGCACUAAUUUCUCAAGACAGGGGAAAUGAUCGCUCGUGCUGGUCCAUCUCACAAUGUCCAAGGAGCCUAACUUCAAGAAUCUGAGUUUUGGGAGUUCCCAUUCUUCUUCCAUGUCCCAAGUAUUCUCCUCACAGUGGAUGGAAAGUAGUUUGAGUACCUCAAGAUUGGGUAGAUCUCUCAGUUCUGGAAUUAUACUCGAAUGCAAGUAUGACAGAGACAGCUUCCUUAGGUUCGAGGGAAAAUGAAGCUCGCUAUGAUACUUUACUCUUCCAAAUGAUGAGGACAGGUGGAGUGAUUGUAGUCGACUCAAAAACUGCACUGCCACGGUCCUGUUGCAAUCCCCAGUAGAUUUCCCUGAUUCAAAGAGUGUGCAUUUUAGUCUGCGGAUGUUUGGCAACUUCCUCAGUAUCUUUUCAAUGCUUUGCCCAGAAGAAAGGCUAAGCACAGAAAAGGUCUCUAAAUUGUGUAAGACAGAGGACAUUUCAAGGUUUUCUGUGGCCAAACUAGACCCAAGCAAGCUAAAACCACCAUGCAGAUGUCUUAAUUUCUGCAUAUUCCAGAUAGUAUCUGGCAAUACAGCUGUACUAUGACUUUUGACAAGAAGAGUUUCUAAAUUUGAGAGGUUGGAUAUUGAUGAUGGGAUCGAAUCGAAUUCACCCUGAGCUGCCAAGUACCUCAACUCAACAAGCAAUAGCGUUUCACUUGGAAAGCAAAAUCCUAGACGGAUUUGCUCCAAAUUCAACACAUUAAGAAGUUUGAAGAUGCACAGAUUGAAUAAGAGACGACAAUGCUUCGGUCCAUACGCAUUAUCAAGAGGAAAGAAUAGUAUAGAACGUACACUGGGACAAAAUAUCCUUGACCUCUCAAAAUGUUCUUGGAGAGAAUACACGCACAACCAUUGCUGAUUACACUGCCCAUUGAAGGUGAGAAGCUCAUCAUACCCACUUACCAAAGACAAAAAUUUCUCCUUUUUCGCUGUUACCACACAAAACUCAUGCAACAGAUCAUGAACACAACAGGCUUUAAUGCCUCCUAAGGAUCUUUCUUUGGAGAUCAUAACCAAGCUUCUGCCAAUCAGAUCAUUGAUGUAGUCCCCGGCCACAUCUUCUAAGCUCUUUCCAUCACUUAGUUGAACAAAUCCUUCGGCGAUCCAUAAUCUCAUCAGCUUCCCAAAAGGAAUCUCCUGGCCUACUGGAAAUGCACCGAAGUAAAGAAAGGAUGGUUUCAGAUAAUCAGGUAAGUUUCUGUAACUCAACUUUAUUAUGUCCAUGCACUGUCCUGUGAUAGAAAGAGUAUUUAAGCUUAGCCUUCCUGCAAUCUCUUCCCAACCAUCCUGCCCUGAAUUUGAAAGAAUUCCAGCUACGGUGACUACUGUGAGGGGUAAUCCCUUACAAUUUUUUGCUAUUUCCCUCCCUAGUUUCUCAUCAUAGCUAUCCCUGCAAGAUAGCCUCUUUUGUAACAGUUCCCAGCUCUCAUCAUCAGUGAGUUGGCGAAGGUAGUGAGACUCACGGUUAGGAUUAAUUUUUUGGCUACUUCAGGAUGUCUACUUGUGAAGAGGAUCCUGCUUCCAUUGGCAUCAUUGGGCAGCGAUCUUUCCAACCCACUCCAUGUGUCAGCAUCCCAGACAUCAUCCAAAACAAUGAGAUACUUAUUUUUCAGUAAACGCCUUUUGAGCUCUUCCUCCAAAUAGACUUCACUCUUGUUCAGAUAUUGAUCAGAAAGUUCAGGAACAAUCCAUCCCAAAAUCUGAAGAACCAAAUCUUUCUUUGUAUAUACUUGAGAAACAAUGCACCAUGCAUGACUAUGAAAUGUGCGUGUAACUGAAGGAUCAUUAAAAACACUUCUGGCCAAAGUAGUCUUACCUAGUCCUGGCAUACCUACAACAGAAAUGAUAUCCAACUGUUUUGAUCCACUUACAAGUUGAUCAAUUAUCUUCUUUGCCUCGUCAUUCAAACUCACCACAGCUUUGUUGAUUGCUGGCGUUCUACCCUGUGCUGGCAAAGAAUUGGAAGACCUGAUAGGUUUUUGGGAUGCCAAGCUACACCUAUUGUCACCAAUCUUCAAGGCCUCCAUCUUAAUAAAAUUAAUUUCUUCUGUGAGUGGACCAAAUAUCGUUGGAGAAUAAUCAGGAUCAUUUCCGACAACUAAGGAUUGAAUCAUAAGUUGUGCUUUGUACGCCACCUCUACAGCAUGACGGGAAAGAGCUUGAAGCUUUUCAUCCUGAUUACGUUCUUCCAGAUUAUUCUCCAACAAGGAUCUCAAGGAUAUAAGAUCAUCUAGUACUGUCUGAAUUUCAUUGCUUGCAAAAACAUUUGAAUCAACCUUACAACCUGGCAAAUCUUUGAGAUUUUGUAGAAAAAAGUUCAUAAAGCCAAGCUCAUCUGUCUUAGGAAAGAUAAGUGCUGAUGUUACUACCUUGAUAAGCUUAAUAUUUCCCAGCAGGUUGACAAGUGCAGAAUCCAUUUCCUUGGCCAAGCCUUCUUUCAAUCCUUGCACAAAUAGUGAGCAAAUUACGAUCCCUGCCUCACUGACAGCAGCUCGAAUGAGAUCCUUAACUUUGUUAGGCAACUUCCCAAAGUACUUCUUGAGAAUGGUUCUCAAGAAUCUGAGCCCCUCAUAGAGAAUUGGCAUUUGAUCCUCCAAAGAAACCACACAAGUAAUACUGUGCGUCAGUCCUUCCCAAAUCCGAUAUAGGAGGGAAUCAACAAAAUCCCCUAGUAUAUGCUCUUCUAUCUCCAAUGUCCGAGCAUGUGGCGAUCCAGAUAGCAAGACUUGGAUGUAUGUCUCACGGAUUUGUGGAUCAACAGCCGCCAUCUUUUGUAGCAGCUCAGAAAAGAUCAACCGCAUUUUAUCAUCCCGUGCUUCUUUAUCAUCAUAUGGGUAAAACACCCACAUGUGGAAGACUCUUGCUGCUGCAUCGAUAGCCACAACUUGUAAACGCAUGAAGAGAACUUCCAACUGCCCAUACUCAAAGCCUCGCCAUUCUGCAAAGCGAAUGAAGUUCUUCAAGAAAGCCACCUUCUCUUUGAGGGCUUCGAGUAAAUCUCGCACAUCUUGGUCAUCAACAUUUACCCAAGUUUGGACAUCCUCUAUAUUCACUAGCAGGAAGUCGAUGAAAUCCAUAAUUUUUGGGCCCCAGCUGGAAUGGUUUUGCAAUGAAUUGUAGUAAUCCAACAAAUUGAUAUAGGAUCGGCUGAUUUCUUGCCUCAAAUUGUAGAUGCAAGUGGUUCUUAUUUCGCCAACCUUGUGAUCAAACUUGGACUUCCAAUCGAAAGUCCCUUCUUCCUCUCCUCCAAGACCAUAAAAGUACUUAUCUUUUCCCUUCAAGAGAUUGAAAGAGGCUUUGCUGCCCAUCCCCAUGAAACCUUGACCAUAGCUGAAUCGUUCUUUUCCCAUAUAAGAACGAUUAUACGAGUACGGUCCCUGUUUCAAGGGGAAGAACUGUUCCUGUUUCAGGCGGAUCAAAUGGGAAUUCAAACCCAGUUUGCGGAAUCUUUCUUCACUAAGACAAUCAUUAUACAAGUCCAGAAUUUUUUUCUCUACUGCAGGUUCAAGGCUAGUCAAGAAAGAUGCCAGAUUAUUGUUGUUACCAGGUUUGGAAUACAGAUCGUAGUUCCACUCUCUUGCACACCAAAAGAGGGUUCUCAGAAGUCUCAACUCCGCCUUCAGGUCCAACACCCUGUUAUAUUGUACACCAAAAUCUUUCACCAGCAACUCUAGAUCACGCAAGACUGUAGCAAUGAUAUCAGAGGCCAUCUCUGUCUCUUUCAGAUCAGAUCCCUCGGCUCUUCAGCAGCAAUAGAGAAAACUGAAAUGAAAACUUGAACAGCUAAAGCUAAUGCUGGCUAUUCCACUCUGCCAAUGGAGUAUUCAGUCAAAUUCCAUAGGAAAAGAGAUAGGUUUUGUGGCAAGUUUCGGCUUUUGCAAUGAACAGAAAUAAUUGUAGUAACUUAAUACUCCCAGAAUGGACAAAGUGGCCGGCUUUCGCAAGUUCCGGUUAUUGCUAAAGAUUCCACACCCGAAAUGGACACCAUAAUAAUGGUGGUAACUAAAAUUUCCCGUUCAUCGAGGGGGCGCCACAUUUUUCAUUUUAAAACAUUUAAAAUAUUUGUCAGGCUGAAAAGAUCAAAAUAUAUUUUAAUUUUAAUUUUUAAUAUAAUCUUUCUUUUUAAUCAUAUCCAUGCUAUUCAUUCAACUUUUAAUUUUAAAUUUAUAAAAAUAAAAUUAAAAAAAAUGUAAACAUCAUAAUUAAAUUAUUAUUUUUAAAAUGUUAAAUUCUUAAAAUAUAACUGAAUAAUCGAAACGGAGGGAGUAAUUGCAAUACUGCACUGCAUCAAUCAAGCUUGACUUUUCUUAAGGUGAUUGGAGCCCUACGUUACUAUUUCUUGAUGCUUUUUUGACAGGUGGAUGGGAGACCAAAUGCUAGAUUUUGGUGGGGUAAGGGAGAAAAGGAAAACGCUGUACACUGGACAAGUUGGAAGAGAAUCUCUGAACUAAAAGGAAAAUGAGGGUUGGGAUUUAGGGAUUUAGUGGCUUUCAACACAGCCCUGCUUGCAAAAAAAAAUUGGAGAUUCAGAACAUUUCCAAAUUUGUUAGCAAGCACGGUAAUGACAGCUAAAUAGUAGCUGUGUUUUCAAAUUCGGAUCGGAUCGGUCGGUCCGACCAGUUGAACCGAGAAUCGGUCAAGUGUUCGGUCCGAGUUGGUCAUCAGAACCGAGAGAUUUAAAACCCGGUCAACUCCGGUCAAAAACCGGGUUUGACCGGUAUAGAACCAGAAAAACCGGUCCAACUGGAGAUUUUGUAAAAAAAGUUUAAAUUUUUUUAAUAUUAUGUUUUAACCCCCUAAAUUGUGAAAACUUAUUAAUAUACCUCAAAUAUUUUAUACUUUAUAAAUAUUGUCCUAAAAUUUGAUGUUAUUUUUCAAUUAAAUCCAUAAUUUUAAUUCUAAACUUGUUAAUGUUUAUUAAAUAAUAUAAAUUGUUACUUGAUUGUUCUAAUUUCUUUGUAUUUUCUUGUUAAAUAUAUUUGAAACAUCAAAUAUAUAUAAAUAUACCUUUAUUAAUAUCAAUAUGUUAUUAGAUAUUUUAUAUACAAUAAUUUAAUUUUUAAAUAAUUUUUAUUUAUGACGUCAUCCGGUUCGACCCCUAUCGACCCCCGGUCGAACCCAUUGACCCCUGACCCCUGACCUCAGCCGAGUCGAUAUCCGGUCCGGUUCUGAAAACAUAGCUAAAUACAUUAGAGAUCCAAGCUGGUUGGAGAAGGAACCCCCAAAGACAGCAUCAUGGUGCUGGAAAAGCAUCCACAGUGCAAGGAAACUACUGCUUGAAGGAUUAUGGAAAAGAAUUGGUGAUGGAACAAAUGUAAACAUUUGGAAGGAUAAGUGGGUAAUGGGAUCAGAAAUGGGUAUAGUGACCACAAAAAGACCUGCAAAUUGUCAUUUAGAAUAUGUAAGUGAUUUGAUAGAGGAUGGCAGAUGGAAAAGGAGACAAUACUGCAACUGUUCUGCGAAAAGAAGGCAGAGCUGAUAGAAAACAUCCCUCUUAGCCUGCACAGAAGGAUGGACAGAUCAUUCUAGAGAUUUUCCAAAACUGGAGUGUAUACCGUCAAAUCUGGAUAUGCAAUGGCUAAAGAGGAGGAAGACCAGCAUAAGAAAACGAAGGGGAUGAAUGCUGAAACUAGUAGGGAGAUUAGGAAGCACAGCGUUUGGAAGAGGCUAUGGGGACUCAACAUAAAGGCAAAAUUGAAGCACUUCAUCUGGAAAUGCCUGCAAAACUGUAUCCUUGUUAUGAGGUGACCUUUAGAAGAAUAGGAAAGCGAGAUGCAAGAUGUGAUUGCUGUGGACAAAAUUUGAAACUAUAGAACAUAUGUUUUUCUUUUGUGCAAAUGCUGAGCUAGUUUGGAAAUUGGCCCCAGUUAAAUGGGGGGACUAAAAGAGCAACAACACUUGUGGAAAUGGUGGGAAAUGGUAAUGCAAGCAAGCUCAAUGGACCAUGGACAAGACAGGAUUAACAUCACAAUCAGCAUAUUAUGGCAAAUCUGGAAAGCUCGGAACAAAAAGGUGUUUGAAAGAAUCAAUCCAAACUCAAACAAAAUUGUGAAGAAGGCACAAGAAGAAUGGAUAGAGUAUGAACUGACAAAGGAAACUGAAAGGGAAGAACCAGGCAAUGCUGCUAUGUCGCAACAACAACAACAAAGCAGGAGAAAAAUAUCAAAGGAAGGAGUGAUCAAGUUGCAUAUUGAUGCAGCAAUAUCUGCAAGAAUGAUAAGAACGAGGCAAGGCAUAAUAGCAAGGAACUGGAUAGGAGAAAUUGUGAAGGCAAAAGGGAUAGUACAUCAAAGAAAGAGUGAAGCCAGCAUGGUGGAAGCACUAGCUAUGAGAAAUGCAUUAGUGAUGGCCAAAGAUGCAGGGUGGACCAAGAUAGAGGUCUACACAGACUGCAAAUCAGUGGUGGAUCAAAUCAACACAUGCAAUGUAAAUAACUACAACAUUGCAACCAUUUUGGAAGAUAUUCAGGAAUUAAGGCAAUGGUUUCAAAGCUGCAGCUUUUCUUUUGUGCAUAGAGCAGAAAAUAGAUGCAGCCAUGAACUAGCUCAAUUUGCAGUACAGUUAGUCCAGGACAUAGAAUAAGAAUGUGAUUUCCCAGUAUUGCUGCUAGAAUUAGCAAGAAAGGAAAUGAGGGCAGUGUCCCCUUUUGUUAUUAAAUUUUGUAAUAUCAAGUUUAAUAUAUAAAAAGCUGUUAAUGUUUGUUGGAAAAAAGAUAGGACCAAAUGCUGUACACUUCUUGCAGAGAAUCAAAUAGUAAACUAUUUUGCUGUCGCUUCACAUAUGCAAAAAUAUAUAUAUACACUAGAGUCAAUGUACAAGAUACACAGGGAUUUGGUCUUUGGUUCUCUUGCGAAUGCCAAGUAACGCCCAUGCAAUAGGGUUGCGAACGAAUCAAGUCAAAUCGAAUUUUGGUCUAAUCAAGUUCAUUCUCGACUUGAUUUUAUCAAACUCGAAUUCGAUCUCGAACUCGACAAGCUCUCAAUAUAAAGUUCGAAUUAGAGAUCGACCUCAAAUUUGAACCGAGUCGAGCUCGAGCUCGAAAUUAAAAAAAUAAAAAAUAAUUAUUUUUUAUUUUUUUUAAAUGGAUAAAAUAGUAAAUUUUCUUAACAAAUAAUAAAAUAUUAGAAAUUUAUAUGUAAUUUCAUUAUUAAAAUAAAAAUAAAUAUGUGUGUGUGUAUGUAUAUAUGUGAUCGAACCGAUUUAUAAGUUGAGUAUCUUUGAACUCAAAUUUAAAUUCGAACUCGACUUGAUCGACUCGAAUUCGGUGUUGACCAGUCGAAUUGAGUUUUAACUCAAACUGCUUCUCGCUCGACUCGUAUGCGGCCCUACUGUGCAAUGGACAAUCCAAGAUCAGGUAAACCAGACUCGACUCAUCUCCACUAUUGAUUUCAAAAUCAGUUGAUUUUAAAAUAACGGAUUCUUUGUGCUUCAAAAAACAGAGGGUUAUCUAAAUGAAAAGAAUAACGGAAGAAGAAAACAGCAAGUAAGUAUUAGAAAUCACAAAAAAUUUUCACAAUGAUACAAAAGUUGAGGAAGGUUAACGUACAUUAUCCUUUUAAUAGUAAAAUUGCAAUUUUACAUAAAGUAUGGAAUCUUGUGUUGCAAUGAUAUUCCAUAUCCGGAUAAAUAAACCGUGCCAUGUCAAAUACACCUCAUGCGAUAUUAUUACUAUUAGGGGAUUUUGAGCACAUCAUUGUGGAGAAAAAAAUGUACAAGUCAUCACUAUCAAAUAUAAGAGCAAAAUACAUGGUAAUCAUGUUGGUUACCUCUACCUAAAUCUGGGCCAACCUAUGAAACUGUCCGUGACGAUCAAAACGUGCAAGUCUUCCUCAAACAAAAAUCUGGAAAUCCUCAUUUCCAGAGUCUUUUUGCUCUUCCUCAAUCUCCCAAACUGAACGUACAGCCGAAUCUGAACAGCCGUGUACAUCAAUCAUUUCAAGAGUUGAAACUUCCCCAAAACAAGAAGGGACUUCUUUCAGUCUCCAGCAUCGAACCAAGACUAGUUUCCGUAGACGCGGGAACUGAUCAGAUGAGCAUUUCCAUCGAAAUAUACGCAACUGUUCCAGUUUCAAGUACUUGAGCCGAGGAAACUCAAAUCCUUCCAUGUCCCAUGUAUCCUGCCGAGAGAUUUCAUGACCUAAUUUGAACACCUCAAGGUUGCAUAGUUUCCCAAUCAUUGGAAUUUCACUCCAAUGGAAAUAUAAGAGACUUAACUUCUUUAGACUGAUCAACGGAAAACGAAACUCAAGAG